rnacentral:rRNA from 1 species
UACAGAGGCCCCAAGCGUUAUCCGGAAUCAUUGGGCGUAAAGGGUGUCAAGGCGGUCAUGUUAGUCGUUCGUUAAAUCUGGGGGCUCAACCUCCAGCCUGCGAGCGAAACGGCAUGACUUGAGGUCGGGAGAGGUGCAUGGAACUCACGGUGUAGGGGUGAAAUCCGUUGAUAUCGUGGGGAACACCAAAGGCGAAGGCAGUGCACUGGCCCGAAUCUGACGCUCACACACGAAAGCCAGGGUAGCGAAUGGG